rnacentral:piRNA from 1 species
UGAGCGCGGUGGCUCGUCUCUGGCGC